rnacentral:rRNA from 1 species
GACGAACGCUGGCGGCGUGCUUAACACAUGCAAGUCGAACGGAAAGGCCCUGCUUUUGUGGGGUGCUCGAGUGGCGAACGGGUGAGUAACACGUGAGUAACCUGCCCUUGACUUUGGGAUAACUUCAGGAAACUGGGGCUAAUACCGGAUAGGAGCUCCUGCUGCAUGGUGGGGGUUGGAAAGUUUCGGCGGUUGGGGAUGGACUCGCGGCUUAUCAGCUUGUUGGUGGGGUAGUGGCUUACCAAGGCUUUGACGGGUAGCCGGCCUGAGAGGGUGACCGGCAACAUGGGGACGGAGAUACGGCCCAGACUCCUACGGGAGGCAGAAGUGGGGAAUAUUGCACAAGGGGCGGAAGCCGGAUGCAGAAACGCCGCGGGCGGGAUGACGGCCUUCGGGUGGUAAACCGCUUUCGCCUGUGACGAAGCGUGGGUGACGGUAAUGGUUAAAGAAGCACCGGCUAAUUACGU